CCCUUAGAUGUCCGGGGCCGCACGCGCGCUACAAUGGAUGAAUCAACGCGUCAUCCUGGCCCGAAAGGGUUGGGGAACCGCUGAACCUCAUCCGUGGUUGGGAUUGGGGUUUGUAAUUAUUCCCCAUGAACUAGGAAUUCCCAGUAAGCGCGAGUCAUAAGCUCGCGUUGAUUACGUCCCUGCCCUUUGUACACACCGCCCGUCGCUACUACCGAUUGGAUGGUUUAGUGAGAUCCUCGGAUUGGUCACGGCACGGUGGCAACACUGCGUCGGUGUGCCGAGAAGACGAUCAACCUUGAUCAUCUAGAGGAAGUAAAAGUCGUAACA
rnacentral:rRNA from 1 species